rnacentral:tRNA from 1 species
GUAAGAUCAGCUAAACAAGCUAUUGGGCCCAUACCCCAAAAAUGUAGGCUAACCCCUUCUCUUAUA